AAAAAGUGUAUGUGUCUUCUUAUUUUUUUAAUCACUCCAAUAACCAGGACCACUGCAGCGUCCUUCACCCGUCAUAUGCUGUCUCGCUCUUCCCGAGUCCUUGGUCCAGUUCCUUUGCUCUUUUUUCCUAUUAUUUAUAUCAUUGGGGAUAAUCACAUCGAUCCUGUGCUGCUUAUCAAUGAUCACAAUGUCCGCUUGGUUGGCCAUUACCAUGUUGUUGGUUUGAAUCCGGAAGUCCCAUAUAUCUCAGUUCUGCCAUUUUCUACCAGUUUGGGAGGUGAUUCCCACUUUGACUUAGGGGUCUCCAAUUCAUGCUCUUCACAGAUGUUUCUGCACACUACCAACCACUAAGUUCCAUCUAUUGCUUUCCUGCUAGCAUCCUACAUCCUGGAUUGUUUCUGUUGUCUCUUUGCACAAGUGGGAUCUCGCCUGUUGAGGUUGAUCUGGGCUUCUAUUGCUCUGGUGCUCCUGCCCUGUCCUUCAGUCACCAGCCAUUUGUAGGACUUGGUCGUAUCAGCCACUUCAUUCAUCCUAUUGGUUCUACCUCUCAUGGUGGUUCCUUCUCAUCCAGUUUCCAUUGUCAGAGACAUUCACAGAGCACGUCAUUCCUCACGAUUAUCUUCCGGAUGUAUUCUUGCAGCUUGGCAAUUUCGUCUUGGAUGGUGGCUCUGAUGCUCAUGAGACCUCUGCCUCCUUCUGUGUGCUUAAGUGUGUAACCAUGUUUUUUUAUGGGAUC